AGGAGGAACACGAUGUCACCAGGGCCCAGGUUAGAGUGUUGUGUUAGUGUGUCGUAGAGGGUUAUGGGAUCCUCGAGUUAGGGUAGCACCGAUAUACGGUGUUACGUGUUAGAUCGAGUCGUAGUUAUAGUUAUUAUUGUGAUUGUGGUUGAUUGAUUUGCUUGCAGGUUCUGACAUUAAGUCCUAAGUCUGGUUUAGGUACCGGAUUAGGCUUGGUGUGUAUAUGGUUAUUGUAGGCCCGACGUUGUCCUGUAUGUGUUUGAGGGAUUGCUUGUGAAGGGUGGUGGAUAUUAAAGCUAUGCGGUAUCAUUGGUUGGCCGAUCAUGUUCUUGUUUGAUUGUUGGUCGAUUGACUAGUGAUACUUGUAUAGUCUAAGUGUCUAACACUACAUGAGUAC
rnacentral:lncRNA from 1 species